rnacentral:snRNA from 1 species
GUACUCGCUUCGGCAGCACAUAUACUAAAAUUGGAACGAUACAGAGAAGAUUAGCAUGUCCCCUGUGCAAGGAUGACACGUUAGAAAAAUAUUUAAAAAAAUA